rnacentral:rRNA from 1 species
UACGUAGGGCGCAAGCGUUGUCCGGAAUUAUUGGGCGUAAAGAGCUCGUAGGCGGUUUGUCGCGUCUGUCGUGAAAGCCCACGGCUUAACCGUGGGUCUGCGGUGGAUACGGGCAGACUAGAGUGCGGUAGGGGAGACUGGAAUUCCUGGUGUAGCGGUGAAAUGCGCAGAUAUCAGGAGGAACACCGGUGGCGAAGGCGGGUCUCUGGGCCGUAACUGACGCUGAGGAGCGAAAGCAUGGGUAGCGAACAGG